rnacentral:rRNA from 1 species
UACGGAGGGUGCGAGCGUUGUUCGGAAUCACUGGGCGUAAAGCGCGUGUAGGCGGCCCACUAAGUCUGAUGUGAAAGCCCCGGGGGCUCACCCCCCGGAAGUGCAUUGGAAACUGGUGGACUCGAGUCCCGGAGAGGAGAGUGGAAUUCCUGGUGUAGCGGUGAAAUGCGCAGAUAUCAGGAGGAACACCAAUGGCGAAGGCAGCACUCUGGGACGUGACUGACGGCUGAAGACGCGAAAA